AGAAUCAACGCUGGCGGCGUGCCUAACACAUGCAAGUCGAACGAGAAAGUGGAGCAAUCCAUGAGUAAAGUGGCGACCGGGUGAGUAACACGUGACUAACCUACCUUCGAGUGGGGGAUAACAUCGGGAAACCGAUGCUAAUACCGCAUAACAUCGCAAGAUCAAAGCAGUAAUGCGCUUGAAGAGGGGGUCGCGGCUGAUUAGCUAGUUGGCGGGGUAACGCCCACCAAGGCGAAGAUCGGUA
rnacentral:rRNA from 1 species